AUUUUCUCAAAAACUGUACUCUUCUCGACUUUCAUGGUAGUAAAUCCAUGCUUAGAUCUGUUGCUAUAAAAUUUAGCAAGCUAAUUUCUUCAACCAUUUUGAGUAAGAAAAGCACCUAAUGGCAGAGUCAGCACACAGUUUAGUGCUCCAGAUGGAAGACAUAUUCAGUCAAGCGCUGUAAUUUACUGGGGUCUAACUUCUGUUCUGUUAGAACUGCUUGUUUCUUCACAGUAAGCAUUUGAGAUGCCGAAUCCAAAGCCCAACCCUGUUGCAGCACAUAGUUUGUAGCAUCAUUUUCAUUCAUUCCCAGGAAGUGAGCUGAGUCUUGUGUGCUAAUGGUUGAAUAAGCGGAAAGAAGGAGCUCGAACAUCCUUUUUCUGUAUAAUUCUGCAAAGGAAGCCACAAAGGGCUGAAUCUCAGGACUCCAGCUGAAUCCACGAAUAGCCUCAUGUACACCGACAUAGUCCCUUGUCCAAAGUUUCUGCCCAAUCCUCCAAACAGCCACCACCUCUGGUCGGGCUUCUUUUACAGCUGCAGGUAUCUUCUUCCACAGAAAUCGCGCACUAUUAAUGUCAUUGCUGUAAAUAUGACCUAGAAGGUGAAUCGCGUACGGCCAUUCAUCUUGAAAUUCGAUUCCCUCAGCGGCACCCUGGAGCAUGAGAUCAUCACAAAUAUCAGCAAUCUUGUCGUAGAAGCUGGACGCCAAGGCUUCGUUGAGUUGAGAAGUAUCCAUUGAAGCGCACUGUUUUUUUCGUCGUCGAUUCUCCUUCUACUCCGUCACCGACUCCCCGCUGGGUGAUCG
rnacentral:misc_RNA from 1 species